GAGCAGAAAAACAAUCCUGGUGGUUCACAACAAUCCUAGACGUUAAGUAAAGGGUAGUUGUUGUAAUUUAAAAAUGGGGAGCGAGGCUUUGAUAUGACAGAAAAAAAUUCUACAUCCAAUGAGUUAGUAUACAACAGUAAAUUAUUGAAUAUUAUAAUGGAAAAAGUAACAAAAGGAAAGCACAAACACCUAAACCCAGAAGUUGGGAAAGACGGGACUCUCACAGAAUGCAAGAGGUUGUUCAAAAAAGGGGCUAGUCCUGAGGUAUUAACUGAGUAUUGAAAGAAGAAAUCAAACAGUCAAAAGAACUAGAGAAAAUAAAGAAAGAGAAGAUAGAACAAGUAAUUUCAGAAGCUAUUAACAAGGGCAGCAAAAAAGAUCAUCCUGAUAACGUUGAUCAAAAUGAAACUGGUCGUAGAGAGAGUAUGGAGAGUCAAGACAGUGGAAUUGAAAGCGGCAACAGUAGUGAAGCUGAAGAUGAUCAUGACGCUAGUAAGAAGCAUUCAAUUGAAUUGCAUAAAAUCCCCAAAUAUUUUUGCACUUAAAAUGAGAUUGAUACAUAUUUCACCUUGAAAAGAGAGAAAGCGAAAAUGUCGAGUGCCAAAAGUGCAAGCAACGCGAACAGAGGUCUGUGGCUAAACUACUACUAGUGUACACUUUUGGAACUUAAAGUGAGAUAGAUAUAC